rnacentral:rRNA from 1 species
GACGAACGCUGGCGGCGUGCCUAACACAUGCAAGUCGAGCGGGGUUGAAGCGAGGGGUAACUCGAGUUUCUACCUAGCGGCGGACGGGUGAGUAACGCGUGGGCAACCUGCCUCAAGGACUGGGAUAACAGCUCGAAAGGGCUGCUAAUACCGGAUAAGCCUAUGGCCUCGCAUGGGGCCAUGAGCAAAGGGGAAACCCGCCUUGAGAUGGGCCCGCGUCCCAUCAGCUAGUUGGUGAGGUGAAGGCUCACCAAGGCGACGACGGGUAGCCGGCCUGAGAGGGUGACCGGCCACACUGGGACUGAGACACGGCCCAGACUCCUACGGGGGGCAGCAGUGGGGAAUCUUGCACAAUGGGCGAAAGCCUGAUGCAGCGACGCCGCGUGAGCGAAGAAGGCCUUCGGGUUGUAAAGCUCUGUCUGGAGGGACGAAGGAAGUAGACGGUACCUCCCGGAGGAAGCCACGGCUAACUACGUG